UGAACGCUGGCGGCGUGCCUAUACAUGCGAGUCGAACGGUUGGUCGCAAGACCGAUAGUGGCGAACGGGUGAGUAACGCGUUGGUGACCUGCCCUAAAGUAGGGGGAGUAACAGUCCGAAAGGGACUGCUAAAACCGACAUAAUCUGGUGGAAGACUAGAAAGCUACCAGGAAAAGGCCGAAAGGCGGCUAGAGGAGGGGGCCUGCGUCCCAUCAGCUAGUUGGUAAGGUAACGGCUUACCAAGGCGAUGACGGGUAGGGGACCUGAGAGGGUGACCCCCCACAAUGGAACUGAAACACGGUCCAUACACCUACGGGUGGCAGCAGUAGGGGAUAUUGGUGAAUGGGCGAAAGCCUGAUCCAGCAAUGCCGCGUGAGUGAUGAAGGCCUUCGGGUCGUAAAGCUCUUUUACCAGGGAUGAUAAUGACAGUACCUGGAGAAUAAGCUCCGGCUAACUCCGUG
rnacentral:rRNA from 1 species